rnacentral:rRNA from 1 species
UUUAACGGCCGCGGUACCAUGACCGUGCAAAGGUAGCAUAAUCAUUAGUCUUUUAAUAGAGGGCUGGAAUGAAAGGUUUGACGAGAUAUUGACUGUCUCAUUUUGAUGAUUUUAAAAUUUAAUUUUUAAGUUAAAAAGCUUAAAUGUUUUUGGAAGACGAGAAGACCCUAUAGAGCUUUAUAGUUAUAUAUUUUAAUAGUUUUGGUUUAUGUAGUUUAUAUUAUUCUGUAUAACUUUUUUGUUGGGGUGACAAGAAAUAUAUAUUUAACUUUUAUUAACUAUGAAACACUUAUUUGUGACUAUUAGAUCCUUUUUUAUUGAUUAUUAGAUUAAGUUACCUUAGGGAUAACAGCGUAAUCCCCUUUUGGAGUUCUUAUUUACAAGGGGGCUUGCGACC